rnacentral:rRNA from 1 species
UACGUAGGGUGCGAGCGUUAAUCGGAAUUACUGGGCGUAAAGCGUGCGCAGGCGGUUCGUUAAGUUCGUUGUGAAAGCCCCGGGCUCAACCUGGGAACUGCAAUGGAAACUGGCGGGCUUGAAUGCGGCAGAGGUGGGUGGAAUUCCGCGUGUAGCAGUGAAAUGCGUAGAGAUGCGGAGGAACACCGAUGGCGAAGGCGGGUCUCUGGGCCGUAACUGACGCUGAGGAGCGAAAGCGUGGGGAGCGAACAGG